rnacentral:lncRNA from 1 species
UUCUAAGUGCGAUGUCAGAAUUUUACAUCUGCUGAUCCCAACAAGUGCACGGGGCCAAUGAGAAGGGGACUGUUUGUUCACAAAACCUGACAGCACGGAUGUGGUUCUGGGGGCGUGUGCAAAUCUAGAAGGCACAGGCCCCAGCAUCCACAGCCCCCACCGGGCCUGGGCCCUGUUUGAACUGGAAGACGUCCUGGUAGUAUCUGGAAGAGCUCCCCACAUUAUAGACCGGGAGACGGAGAUACACAUACAGCGAACCGCCCGAGUUUGAAGAAAUGGAAGAUACACCGAGGGCCCAUCACCUGCCCUUCGUUCCCUGACAACCGCCCCCAGGUCUGGGAUCUGGAGGAAAAAAGUCUCUGGGGCCGUCAAGUCACGAACAGAACCAUCGCCCUUUCUUCAAGGAAGGCCUGACUGAGAGAGCAACUGACCUGCAGACUAUGGCCAUUCAAACCAGCAGCCUUAGACAUAUUUUUCCCGAAAAUGAACAGUGGGCCUGUCACCUGCAGGAAAAAUUCAAACUUUUAAGCAAGAAUUAGAAUUUUGGAGAACUUGUACCUGUCAUGGUGAGCUUGACUGCUUUUCAGUACUCAAAAGAUUUUUCUGAUGAGAUCAGUGGUAAUACUAGCAAACGUCAGUUUUUAGGUUAUACAAUGAAAGGCAUUAACAUUUGAGAUCUCUGCAUAACCCAGGGAACCCAUAACCCAGGCACCCACGGGGAGUGUUACAAAAUCAUGCGUGUGUGAGAGAUCUGUGCAAAGUACAAGACAGAUCAAUAGGUUUUAAUGUGAUGGGGUGAAAAGUUCAUUGAUUGGGUUUCAGGUUCCGCAUUGCAACAAGCCUUCAAGCAAUUACCUCUUGUUGUGUUUUGGUGUAGUGUUAAAGAAGAUGACCCGUAACCAUCCAGAGAAACUCCGAAGGUGCCUCUCAGCUUCCAGCCACAAGUCUGUGUGUGACCAGUUCUGUCCGCUCUGUUAACAGGGUAUUUCACCAGAUCGAACACUAUAGCAGAUGAGAAUAUCAGAUGAUCUCUCACUAAGCCAGAUGGUAAACGGAUUUUGAAAAUGUCAAACAAGCUGCAUCUUCUCACUACUUUUUAUUUUUCAAAAUCUAAUUAUUUUUCUAAAAUAUGUUACUUGUGUUAACAUAUGACAAGGUGUGCUUUUGUCUGAUGAUGACUUGAUGGAUGCACUAUUUUACUUUUUAAAGAUUUUAUUUAUUUGAGAGAGUGCACGCACAUGUGCAUGCACAAG